rnacentral:rRNA from 1 species
AUUGAACGCUCGCGGGAUGCUUUACACAUGCAAGUCGAACGGCAGCGCGGACUUCGGUCUGGCGGCGAGUGGCGAACGGGUGAGUAAUGUAUCGGAACGUGCCCAGUAGCGGGGGAUAACUACGCGAAAGCGUAGCUAAUACCGCAUACGCCCUACGGGGGAAAGCAGAGGAUCGUAAGACCUUGCACUAUUGGAGCGGCCGAUAUCGGAUUAGCUAGUUGGUGAGGUAACGGCUCACCAAGGCGACGAUCCGUAGCUGGUUUGAGAGGACGACCAGCCACACUGGGACUGAGACACGGCCCAGACUCCUACGGGAGGCAGCAGUGGGGAAUUUUGGACAAUGGGGGCAACCCUGAUCCAGCCAUCCCGCGUGUGCGAUGAAGGCCUUCGGGUUGUAAAGCACUUUUGGCAGGAAAGAAACGUCGCGGGCUAAUACCCCGUGGAACUGACGGUACCUGCAGAAUAAGCACCGGCUAACUACGUG